rnacentral:misc_RNA from 1 species
AUGGCUGUCACCACACAACAAGUUGUUGGCGGCCGGGGACGCGUGUGCUACUUUGAUGUCCUCCUUGCACCCAUGGAGGGCACGAGGAGGAAAGGGGCUCCGUUGGCAACUAAUUCCGUCACAUUAGGUAUGCAAUACAAGAACCGAAGAGGCUGAAAGGACACAUGGUCCUCAUAGCAAAACACUGAGAGGUAGCCGAGCACAAGCAGUUCGAUGCCCAAAGCAC